rnacentral:rRNA from 1 species
GAUGAACGCUGGCGGCGUGCCUAAUACAUGCAAGUCGAGCGAACGGACGAGAAGCUUGCUUCUCUGAUGUUAGCGGCGGACGGGUGAGUAACACGUGGAUAACCUACCUAUAAGACUGGGAUAACUUCGGGAAACCGGAGCUAAUACCGGAUAAUAUUUUGAACCGCAUGGUUCAAAAGUGAAAGACGGUCUUGCUGUCACUUAUAGAUGGAUCCGCGCUGCAUUAGCUAGUUGGUAAGGUAACGGCUUACCAAGGCAACGAUGCAUAGCCGACCUGAGAGGGUGAUAGGCCACACUGGAACUGGGACACGGUCCAGACUCCUACGGGAGGCCGCAGUAGGGAAUCUUCCGCAAUGGGCGAAAGCCUGACGGAGCAACGCCGCGUGAGUGAUGAAGGUCUUCGGAUCGUAAAACUCUGUUAUUAGGGAAGAACAUAUGUGUAAGUAACUGUGCACAUCGUGACGGUACCUAAUCAGAAAGCCACGGCUAACUACGUG